AUACGUAGGGUGCGAGCGUUGUCCGGAAUUACUGGGCGUAAAGAGCUCGUAGGUGGUUUGUCGCGUCGUCUGUGAAAUUCCGGGGCUUAACUCCGGGCGUGCAGGCGAUACGGGCAUAACUUGAGUACUGUAGGGGAGACUGGAAUUCCUGGUGGAGCGGUGAAAUGCGCAGAUAUCAGGAGGAACACCGGUGGCGAAGGGGGGUCUCUGGGCAGUAACUGACGCUGAGGAGCGAAAGCAUGGGUAGCGAACAGGAUUAGAUACCCUGGUAGUCCAGGCCGUAAACGGUGGGCGCUAGGUGUAGGGGUCUUCCACAACUUCUGUGCCGUAGCUAACGCAUUAAGCGCCCCGCCUGGGGAGUACGGCCGCAAGGCUAAAACUCAAAUGAAUUGACGGGG
rnacentral:rRNA from 1 species